rnacentral:rRNA from 1 species
GUAGGGUGCGAGCGUUAAUCGGAAUUACUGGGUGUAAAGGGUCCGCAGGCGGGCAGACAAGUCGGUGGUGAAAGCCCCGGGCUCAACCUGGGAAUUGCAUUUAAAACUGUCCAGCUAGAGUCUUGUAGAGGGGGGUAGAAUUCCAGGUGUAGCGGUGAAAUGCGUAGAGAUCUGGAGGAAUACCGGUGGCGAAGGCGGCCCCCUGGACAAAGACUGACGCUCAGGUGCGAAAGCGUGGGGAGCAAACAGGAUUAGAUACCCUGGUAGUCCACGCCGUAAACGAUGUCGAUUUGGAGGCUGUGUCCUUGAGACGUGGCUUCCGGAGCUAACGCGUUAAAUCGACCGCCUGGGGAGUACGGCCCCUGGUUA